rnacentral:tRNA from 1 species
CCUUUGGUGGUCCAGUGGUUAGGACUCCACACUUUCACUGCCAAGGACCUGGGUUAAAUUCCUGGUCAGGGAA